rnacentral:tRNA from 1 species
GCCCCUGUAGCUCAAUGGAUAGAGCGCCGGACUUCUAAUCCGACGGUUGUGCGUUCGAAUCGCACCAGGGGCG